rnacentral:lncRNA from 1 species
GAAAAUAAAUCUGAGUCUACGCUAAUAUUGACUUGGACUCAUUUCAAAGUCUUAACAUGAUCUUCAGCCUUCCUUUCAGAGAAACCAAUUCUCUAAAUACGUAUUCCUAGACCCACUAUCAUUGUCUUUGUACUGAAUGAUAAUUGACAAUUUUUUGGAUUUCUAGAGACCUCUCCUGACGGAGCAAUAUCCUGGUCCCUAGGAAGCAUUCCCUGUGAUUUUGGUUGGUUCAUUAGAGGUCUGGAGAAUGGCAGCAAAAUGAACAAUAUGAGAAUUAAGAAUACAAUGGCAACUUGAAAAAUAAAGGAUAUAGGACACAGUUGAAAAUGGAGGAUGUAGGAUCAUUCUAUUAGAAGAAUAAAAUAGUUUGCAAAUAUACAAGAACAUGCAGGCAGAUGUACCUAGAAAGGACCUGAGAACUC